GACCCCAGGUCAGGUGGGAUCAUCCACUGACUUUAAGCAUAUCAAUAAGCGGAGGAAAAGAAACUUACUAGGAUUCCCCUAGUAACGAUGAGUGAACCGAAAAGAGCUCAGCUUGAGAAUCGGGUGCCCCUUCCGAAUUGUAGUCUAGAGAAGCAUCCUCAGCGGCAGACCUGGCCCAAGUCCCCUAAAAAGGGGCAUCGGAGAGGGUGAGAGGCCCAUUGUGCCUGGACCCUGUAGCUCCACGAGGUGCUGUCCGCGAGUCAGGUUGUUUAGGAUUGUAGCCCCAAUCUGUGAUAAAUUUCAUCCAAGGCUGAAUAUGAGCGAGAGACCGAUAAUGAACAAGUACUACGAGGGAAAGAUGAAAAAGACUUUGAAAAGCGAGUCAAAGAGUGCUUGAAAUUGUUAGGAGGGAAGUGGAUGGGGGUCGACGAUGCACCCCGAUUGGAUGUGAAUGAGAAGAGUCAGUCUGUCCAUCGGCUCGGGGCAUGGACCGACGUGGGUUAUGGUAGCCCAAGACUGGGCUUUUGAUGUGCUCAUGGAGACAUCAUCACCGUGAUUGUUGAGUACAGCACGUGCCGUCUCGAUGUGCCUCGACACCCAUGUGCUCCUGACGUUUGCCUGUGGGCUUCCCACUCAGCCCAUCUUGAAACACAGACCAUGGAGUCUGACAUGUGUGUGAGUCAAUGGGCCAAGAAACCCGUAAGGCGUAAGGAAGCUAAUUGGUGGGAUACCUCGCGGGUGCACCGUCGAUCGACCUUGAUCUUCUGUGAAGGGUUCAAGUGCGAGCAUGCCCGUCAGGACCCGAAAGAUGGUGAACUUUGCCUGAGUGGGGUGAAGCCAGAGGAAACUCUAGUGGAGGCCCGCGACGAUACUAACUUGCAAAUCAUUCGUCUGACUUGGGUAUAAGGGCGAAAAACUAAUCGAACCAUCUAGUAGCUAGUUCCCUCCGAAGUUUCCUCAGAAUAGCUGGAGCCCCUGUUGUGUUUUACUAGGUAAAGCCAAUGAUUAGAGGCAUCGGGGGCACAACGCCCUCGACCUAUUCUCAAACUUUAAAUAGGUAGGAUGACACGGCUACUUCGUUGAGCCGUGCCACGAAAUCGAGAGCUCCAAGUGGGUAAUUUUUGGUAAGCAAAAUGGGUGAUGCAGGAUGAACCAGAAAUCGGGUUACGGUGCCCAACUACGCACUAACCCAGAACCCACAAAGGGUGUUGGUCGAUUAAAACAGCAUGACGGUGGUCAUGGAAGUCGAAAUCCAGUAAGGAGUGUGUAACAACUCACUUGCCGAAUUAACUAGCCUAAAAAAUGGAUGGUGCUUAAGUGCGUGAUGAGUAGGAGGGUGCGAUGGUUGUCAUAAAACCCGAGGCACGAGCCCGGGUGGAACGACUUUCGAUGCAGAUCUUGGUGGUAGUAGCAAAUAUUCAAAUGAGAACUUUGAAGGUCGAAGAGGGGAAAGGUUCCAUGUGAACGGCACUUGCACAUGGGUUAGUCGAUCCUAAGAGAUGGGAAGCCCGUCUGACAGUGCAUCCUGCAUGAGCUUCGAAAGGGAAUCAAGUUAAAAUUCCUGAACUGAGACACGAUGGCUGACUGCAACGUUAGGGAGUCCGGAGACAUCGACGAGGGCCUCGAGAAGAGUUAUCUUUUUGUUUAACGGCCCGUCCACCUUGGAAAUGGCUUAGUCAGAGGUAGGGUCCAAUGGUCGAAAGAGCACCGCACAUUGCGUGGUGUCCAGUGCACCCCCGACAGCCCUUCAAAAUAUGAAAGAUUGAGUGCCGUCUGUGCCUGAUCGUACUCAUAACCGCAUCAGGUCUCCAAGGUGAACAGCCUCUGGUCGAUGGAAUAAUGCAGCCAAGGAAAGUCGACAAAAUGGAUUUGUAACCUCGAGAAAAGGAUUCGCUCUGAGGGCUAGGCACGAGGGUCCCAGUCUUAAACCUGUCAGCUACUGGUGUACUACUCGAGCUACUCCCACAGUGAGAGUAGGUCAUUGCAUGUCGGUCAGGGGACGGACUGAGAAUGGCUCCCUCGGGGGCCUUCUCCAAGCGAUGAAAAGUCGACUCAAAACUGGUAUGAACAAGGGGAAUCCGACUGUUUAAUUAAAACAAAGCAUUGUAAUGGUCCCUGCGGAUGCCCAUGCAAUGUGAUUUCUACCCAGUGCUCUGAAUGUCAACGUGAAGAAAUUCAACCAGGCGCGGGUAAACGGUGGGAGUAACUAUAACUCUCUUAAGGUAGCCAAAUGCCUCGUCAUCUAAUUAGUGACGCGCAUGAAUGGAUUAACGAGAUUCCCACUAUCUCUAUCUACUAUCCAGUGAAACCACAGCCAAGGGACCGGCUUAGCAAAAUCAACGGGGAAAGAAGACCCUGUUAAGCUUGACUCUAGUUCGACUUUGUGAAAUAACUUGAGAGGUGUAGGAUAAAUGGGAGCCCCCGGGCGAAAUUGAAAUACCACUACUUUUAUGUUAUUUUACUUAUUCCGUGAAUUAGAGGUGGGGCACGACCCCUUUUUUUGGACCCAAGGCUAGCCUCGAUCGGUUGAUCCGAGAAAGACAUUGUCAGGUGGGGAGUUUGGCUAGGGCAGCACAUCUGUUAAAAGAUAACGUAGGUGUCCUAAGAUGAGCUCAACGAGAACAAAAAUGUCAUGUGGAACAAAAGGGUAAAAUCUCAUUUGAUUCUGAUUUCCAAAAUGAAUACGAACCGUGAAAGCAUGGCCUAUCGGUCUUUUAUACCUUCAGGAUUUGAAGCUAAAGGUGUCAAAAAAGUUACCACAGGGAUAACUGGCUUGUGGCAGUGAAGCAUUCAUAGCGAUGUUGCUUUUUGAUCCUUCGAUGUCGACUCUUCCUACCAUUGUGAAGCAGAAUUCACCAAGUAUUGGAUUGUUCACCCACCACUAGGGAACAUGAGUUGGGCUUAGACCAUCAUGAGAUAGGUUAGUUUUACCCUACUGAAGGUGACAGCGUGAUAGUAAUUCAACCUAGUAUGAGAGGAACCAUUGAUUCGCACAAUUGUUCAUCGUGCUUGGUUGAAAAGCCAGUGGUAUGAAGGUACUAUGCGUUGGAUUAUGAUUGAAUGCCUCUAAGUCAGAAUUCAAGCUAGAAGUGAUGCGCGUGCCCGCCACCCGAUUGUCGACCCGAAGUAGAGGCCCAUGGCCGCCAAGGGCACAUGUCGUAGGUGCAGCACCCGCGAUGGACAAGCUGUGUGGGCCUCUUUGGAGCUCAAUUCCCACCAAGCGGUGGGUAGAAUC
rnacentral:rRNA from 1 species